AAAUUAAACAACACCCGCCACAGCGGGUUUAAGGCGCCCCUUAGAGUUUGAUUCUGGCUCAGAUUGAACGCUGGCGGCAGGCUUAACACAUGCAAGUCGAGCGGAGAGAGGUAGCUUGCUACUGAUCUUAGCGGCGGACGGGUGAGUAAUGCUUAGGAAUCUGCCUAUUAGUGGGCGACAACAUUUCGAAAGGAAUGCUAAUACCGCAUACGUCCUACGGGAGAAAGCAGGGGAUCUUCGGACCUUGCGCUAAUAGAUGAGCUUAAGUCGGAUUAGCUAGUUGGUGGGGUAAAGGCCUACCAAGGCGACGAUCUGUAGCGGGUCUGAGAGGAUGAUCCGCCACACUGGGACUGAGACACGGCCCAGACUCCUACGGGAGGCAGCAGUGGGGAAUAUUGGACAAUGGGCGCAAGCCUGAUCCAGCCAUGCCGCGUGUGUGAAGAAGGCCUUAUGGUUGUAAAGCACUUUAAGCGAGGAGGAGGCUACUUUAGUUAAUACCUAGAGAUAGUGGACGUUACUCGCAGAAUAAGCACCGGCUAACUCUGUGCCAGCAGCCGCGGUAAUACAGAGGGUGCAAGCGUUAAUCGGAUUUACUGGGCGUAAAGCGCGCGUAGGCGGCUAAUUAAGUCAAAUGUGAAAUCCCCGAGCUUAACUUGGGAAUUGCAUUCGAUACUGGUUAGCUAGAGUGUGGGAGAGGAUGGUAGAAUUCCAGGUGUAGCGGUGAAAUGCGUAGAGAUCUGGAGGAAUACCGAUGGCGAAGGCAGCCAUCUGGCCUAACACUGACGCUGAGGUGCGAAAGCAUGGGGAGCAAACAGGAUUAGAUACCCUGGUAGUCCAUGCCGUAAACGAUGUCUACUAGCCGUUGGGGCCUUUGAGGCUUUAGUGGCGCAGCUAACGCGAA
rnacentral:rRNA from 1 species